UACGGGGGGAGCAAGCGUUGUUCGGAUUUACUGGGCGUAAAGGGCGCGUAGGCGGCGCAACAAGUCACUUGUGAAAUCUCCGGGCUUAACUCGGAGCGGCCAAGUGAUACUGUCGUGCUAGAGUGCGGAAGGGGCAACUGGAAUUCUCGGUGUAGCGGUGAAAUGCGUAGAUAUCGAGAGGAACACCUGCGGCGAAGGCGGGUUGCUGGGCCGACACUGACGCUGAGGCGCGAAAGCUAGGGGAGCGAACGGG
rnacentral:rRNA from 1 species